rnacentral:rRNA from 1 species
GCAAGUCUUGGGGGAAAGAAUCUUCGGAUUCAAGUACACCGGCGCACGGGUGAGUAACACGUGGGUAAUCUACCCUUCAGUCUGGAAUAACCUCGGGAAACCGUUGCUAAUGCCGGAUAGUCAGUACUGUCCAAAUGGGCGAUCCUGUAAAGAUGGUUUCGGCUAUCACUGGAGGACGAGCCCGCGGUCCAUUAGCUAGUAGGUGGGGUAAUGGCCUACCUAGGCAACAAUGGAUAGCUGGUCUGAGAGGAUGAUC